rnacentral:rRNA from 1 species
GAGCUCAAAUUUAUAAUCUGGCACCUUCGGUGUCCGAGUUGUAAUCUCUAGAAGUGUUUUCCGCGUUGGACCGCACACAAGUCUGUUGGAAUACAGCGGCAUAGUGGUGAAACCCCCGUAUAUGGUGCGGACGCCCAGCGCUUUGUGAUACACUUUCAAUGAGUCGAGUUGUUUGGGAAUGCAGCUCAAAUUGGGUGGUAAAUUCCAUCUAAAGCUAAAUAUUGGCGAGAGACCGAUAGCGAACAAGUACCGUGAGGGAAAGAUGAAAAGCACUUUGGAAAGAGAGUUAACAGUACGUGAAAUUGUUGGAAGGGAAACGCUUGAAGUCAGACUUGCUUGCCGGAGCUUGCUUCGGUUUGCAGGCCAGCAUCAGUUUUCCGGGGUGGAUAAUGACGGUUUGAAGGUAGCAGUCUCGGCUGUGUUAUAGCUUUCCGUUGGAUACAUCCUGGGGGACUGAGGAACGCAGCGUGCUUUUUGCGAAAGACUCGUCUUUUUCACGCUUAGGAUGCUGGUGGAAUGGCUUUAAACGACCCGUCUUGA